GGCGUCGUGUAGAAAGCGAGGGGGUCCGGCCAUGUCAUGGUGAUGGGUGGGAGCCGCAGCUCUGCGGCAAGGUCGCUCAGGUCCUCCGGGUGUCGGACAGUAAAGGGCCCCUUCGAGAUGAUGGCCUGUAUCCCGGUCGGGAAGGUCCACCGGUAUCUGAUCCUGUUGCUUUGGAGGAUUCUCGUGAGGGGCUUCAUCGCC